AUCCGCCGCCCUCCCCUCCGCCCAAAGACAGACAGGCAUGCCCGCCCUUGGAGGAAAAGACGAGGGAGAAACGGACCAAGGAGACAUUUUUUUUUUUAAGUCCAAGGAAGGAGGGACCAAAAAAAAAAAAUGAAAAAAAAACAUAAUAAAUACCCAGACUGUUUUAUAUACACACAUAACAAGCAAAACCUGAAGAGGAAAAGGCAACCGUGAGAUCCCGUCUGUGCUGUGGUGGUGUUUUGUUUUUUUAUUUUAAAGAAGGGUGACUUUACCUACAGCACCAAAACUGCGCUCUUAAGGUGUACCCACCCUGAGAUGUCCUACCUGGCAGCGGUGGACAGCACCUGCCUCGGCCUCCUCUCUUAUAAAAGAGAGAGAAAGAGCCCCCCUCUUUCUUCCACUUCCUCCCAAAGGGCUGCCUAAGAGCUGCGCGGAAACUUUCCCUCCUCCUCCAAGGGACCUGAGAGCCAGCACCUGAUCUCCUCGGGGUCUUACUCUGUGCUCCAGGACCCUGUUUUUCUUGGCCAUUUUAAAGUCGUUUGGGAAGAGGCAACUCGGCGUUGAAAUGGGAAGGAGGGGGAAAAACAGGCAAAGACAAAUUCACAGCUUCUGAAAUUAACAGACUGAAUAGCAAAGCCAAAAGAAAGUAUCCUCAAAGUAACCUUGGAAAUAAAAGCAACGCGAAAGAGCCGAGGAUGGGCGAGGGAGAUCCGGACGUCCAGCCGCAAGUGGCCAGAGGCCCGGGGCUGGCUGAGUCCAGCGCGGUUGGGCUGACAGGGAGCGGAGGCCCAGCCUGCGAGGCUGCCCAGUGAGGCCCAGCCACCACCGACCCCGGCUUUGCCGGCAGCCGUUGGGGUGGACCAUCAUGCCUAAAGAUUCCACCGCUAAUAUUUUUUUUAUUAAUAUUUUUUAUUUUUUAUUUCUGGACUGACUCAGAUAAAGGGAUUUAGAAAGACUGAGCACCAGCCGCUGCACUUCUCUUGACUUCUGUCCUCAAUCCGUUGCCAACUUUGAUUGAAUGGGUGCUGUGGAUGUGAUUAUAUAAUACUGCCAUUUCCAAGCAGUGUUUUUGGUAGGUUUUAAUAAACAGACUUUUCAAAAGACGGCAAUAUAGAAUUGUUAGAUCCGUUGUUGAUCUAAAAAUAUUUGCUUUAUAUUUUCAUUAAAUGACUUCUUUUAAUAUUUUAUUCAGAAUACUUAUGAACUGCUGCAAAACGGUAAUUUAUUUUUCCCCAGAUCUUGUAUUACCUGUUUUUUUCAGACGAGCACAAAUCAAAAUGAAAUGAAAAUAUGGACAGUUGUUAGGUAAUAAGGGUAUCUUUUGAUGUGAUCAUUUGAUUGUAAUUUAAUUUGAGUAGUGAUUCCGUAAGAGCUGAUCGAGAAAAUAAAUUUGUUAGAAUGAAAUAGUCUGUGUCUGAUGCGUAAACACUGAGUUCUCUAGAUUUUUUUUUUUUUUUUUUUACUUAUACAAAUCCUUAAGUAAUAGUGUUAAGGAAAUAGCGCCUGUUCCACUUAAGGCAAGUUUGGAAAUUAAGAGUAAAGGCAUUACUGAAACAGCUGGCAUUUUAACAUAGUGGUCAUUCCUUGUUAAUCUAUAAAUUUCACAAUAUUUUUCUCUCCCUUAAUUUUACUGGGUGUCUUUAUUGUUUUUUAGGUGAGAUUAUCUGUAAAUGCUAGAGCCCUUUUCUUGAAGUUACCUGUGUUCUUUAUUGAAUGAUUGGACUAUAUCACCAGUAAAAACGUGCCAACUGGUCAUUAAUGGUUAAUAUAGCCCUCCUGAGUUCAGUCUUUCCUUUUUCUUUCUACCCCCAACAUAUUAAAUCUCUUCUCUUUUUCUGAAGACUAAUAGUUGUAAAGAAUAGCUUAUAAAUCUAUAAAAUAUUUUGAUAUCAAUUCCCAUCACUAUAUGUAAUUACAUUUAAAUUAUUGAGUUUUCCUGUUGUUUGAGGGUUGUUGUUUCUUUUGCUUUUGGGUUUUUUUUUUUUUUUUUCAUGUCAUGAAAGAAUAUAGUUUUCCCAAUUCCUGCUUUUGGUCCAUACUGCAGACCAUCUUUGUGUUAGUAGCUCAGACUUCUGUGAUUCAGUCUUUCCCCAGUGUGACUUCUUGUCUUCUUCACUGGUGCUGGGAUUUAGCUUUUGGGGUCACUUUUUAGGUAAACCCUGCAGAGUGAUCACAUCAAGUUAGUGUAUCAAUAUUUAUAGUGUGGGAAAAUGAAAGUAAUGCCUUAGGUUGUGGGUACUAAAGAUGCAGAGGCUCUACUGGGUUUACUCCCUAUGUAUUGGAGUUUGUUUGUUUGUUUAAGUACUCAAGGGUGAGAAAGCAAUGAUUUUAUAGACCAGUUUCCCUUCAUCUCACUUAACUGUCACUCACUCUUUGCCUACUUCUCUCAUCUUCACUCCCUCUGCCUGUGAUAUCAUGGAUGUAGGGGUUAAAAAAUCCCGGAAAACUGUGAGAGAAACAAGGAACAGUUAUUUCUCUUAGACAGGCCCCUGGGUCACUUUCAUCAAUCAAGCCCAGCCAGAUGGCCAUGUAUUGGGUGGCAUUAUUUUAAACACCAAAUCGUACUAAAAAUCACAAUCAUUUUGAUUUGUGAAAUCUGAAAAAGGCCAUAUUUAUUGAACAGAGAAUAGAAAAAAAAAAAUGAAGACAGGGAACUACAAUUUACUUUUCUUUGCCUCCCUGUCUCAUUUCUCUUGCUAUUGUAAUGGCCCAGCCCAGGGAAUCUGCAACCUGGAGUGGCGGUGGGGUGAAGUUCAUCAUUUUUUUGAGGGUCUGGAGGGGUGAGCAAAGAAGGCCUCACUGGAAAGCUGAGAAUUGGGCAGGUCGUUUGCAUGUGGUGUGCACUCCUGGCACAUCAGAUGGAAUCCUGUUUUUUUUUCUUUUUCUUUUUUUUUUUUUUUUUUCUGCUGGGAUAGUGGUGCUUGAUUAGACAGGGAGUGGGUCUAUUUAAAUUUUUAGGAGGUAUCUUCUUACUUGAUUUAGCUGACAACAAAACAGCUAACAUUAGAUUUCACACUGUUUUCUAUUAAAAAGCAACCUUUGCUGAUUACUUUGGAAGAAGCCCUGAUUUGGGGGUAGCAGAGUAACUUUUAAUUGGAGAAGCUGGGCAAGCAAGUCCAUUUAGUUUCAUUAUUUUGCAUUUUAUAAAGUGAGCUAAUGCUUGGACUCUGUUGCAUUUUUUUUUCUUAAUCAACCUUUGAAUGUAUUUAUAAAAUGAAAUUCAUGGUUGAAACUCAAAAGAGGGGAGAUGUAACUGAGGUUUUGUGCUAAGGCUUAUAUUGUUACACAUGUAAAUAAUGAAAAUAUUGUUAUAUAUCACCAGAUCUUUUUAAUGAAUUUGGUCAUUGUGUUCCUUUGCAGCGCAAGUGUCUUGUGCUUCGUAAAAGUGCCCAUUUGUUUCCUCCAUUUCAAUCCAUCCCCCACCUCCCCUUCCAACCCAAAGGAAAGUGACAAAGUUCUGUCCCAUCAGACUGGCUAAUCCCAAACUAGGCCCAUUUAUAGUUUACAGUACCCUGUGGCUCUUGAUCAGUUGUCCAAGCUGUGGUCAUCUCAUUCACCCAACCAUCUUCUCCUGGCAAUCUGUGUGAUAAAUCAUUCAAGGUGUGUUUUAAAAUAGUCACUUUGCUCUUGUUGCCCUACCUUUUUUUCUUAGUACUUAGCCAAGGACUGUAUUUCUUUGUUCCAAAAUAGAAUUGUCCAUUAUGGAUCUUAGAGAUUCCCUCCGCUUCCCUGUAGUCUCCAGUGUUUGCUCAUUACUAUGCUCAUAAUCUGUUUUGUAUGAAUGGUUUUCAACAUUCAGAGAAAAUUGGUUCUAAUAUCAAAUGCAGUAUAUAUUAUUGAUAGUUUUAUCGAUAAGUGUAAUAUUUUAAAUAAUUUUAACAAUUAAAUUUGUUUUUUAAAUUAUAUAUUUGUAAAGUAUUUAUCCUGUUGGAAGCAACAAUAUAUUGUUGUAUUUAUUCGUUUAUUUUUGUAAUAAAUGAUCAACCUCUUCAA